UUAGAAAGCGAAAUAUUGCACUUAGUUUCGACCUAAGUUUUGGCCACUUAAGCCUCUAAUAG
rnacentral:tRNA from 1 species